CUCUCCGAGCUCGCGCACUCUGUGGGCGGAGCCCCCAAGUCCAGACGCGGGCAGUAGGAGCGAGGCACGUCAGGCGCUGGGUAGAUCUUUCGGCCUCGCUGGAAGGAGGGUACCGAGGUAGCUGGCCAGUCAAAGACUCCAUCCCUCUUCUUCCAGUAGGCCACCCUCACACCCUGUCCGAAAAGUUGUCUCCGUGGCCUGGCCUUGGGAAGUCUCUCCUCAGCUUUACCUCAGUUACCUCAGUCUCCACCGGCAGGGACCGGCCUGGGGUCUAGAAGGGAAGGUAGUAAAUGGCAGAGUCAAAAUUGGAACCCACACUACGGACUACUACAUUCUACAGUCAGCUCGAAUUCCCCCAUAUGGGAAAUAAGCUACUGGAGGUGAGGUAGAUGUUUGGAAACAGCCUAAAAGAAAAGAAAAGGACUUACCUCGUUCAUCCAGAAGGAUAUUCUCCAUCUGAAAAAUCACAGGUGAGACGUUAUUAUUCAUCCUCUUCCUUUCAAUGCUUUUUCAUCAUGUGUACCCCUCCAGCUGAAGAAGAUGCCCUACUUAGCAUUCAGGUCUGUAUUUGGAAGGUCCUUGCCCAAAUCCUUAACAAGCAUGAGGGCCCCAAGUUCAGCUGUUCCUCAGCAACUCCUCCCUGCCUUCU